ACAAGCAAGAACCCAGAAAACCUGGAAAGUAGGAGGAAGAAACUUUGCAACAAACAAGAAAAUUAGUUUUUCUUAUCGAAAAUGACGCAACAACCCUCAUUCAUUUCGGCUCAAAACACCGAUUCAAAGUUUAUUUACUAAGUUUUUAUUGUUGUUGCAUUUGGUGGACUUUCUUCCUCAGUUACCCGCUGGUUAAGAUCUGCUAGGUUCUUAGAGCUUGAGAAGUCGGGGCUGUUUCGCUGGUUGAUGCAGUUCGGCGGCUUCAAGGAGCGCCUUUUAGCCGACGACCCGUUCCUCUCCAUGGUCGGAAUCAAGUACUGCAUUGGAAUGUUCACCAUGAUUCCGUGCUUGUUUCUCUUCCUGCCCCUACUGUUUCUCUCCGACCACCACUUGCAACUAGUGCUGGAACAAUUGCCAAGUUCUUCCAUAACUGCCUUGAUAAUGCAUUCCAGGUUGCUCUUGCCGGAACCUCAUAUUCAUUUCUACAGAGAUUAGGGGUUGUGGUGGUGAGCAAAUGGCUUCCAUAUUUGCCUGCUUAAAUGGAUCCCCAAAAUUUGGGUUUGAAGUUAACAAUGAAAUCGCAUGUUUUUCAUUUUCUGGUUUUGUUUGUGUAACAUAAUGGGACAAAGCUUUUUGCAGUUGGCACAGCUUCAUCACUUGUUAGUAGUUUGCAAUCAACGUAUAUUUUUUUUCCUGGUUUGUUCUUGAGAUCAAGAUGUUGAGGAUUUUUGCAUAUAGUGGCAUAUGUAGUUAAGGCUUUAGACUUAGACAAGGUUGGUUGGGUUUAGGUGUAACCCAUGUCCAAACUCAAGGAAUGAAUGAUUACCCAUGAAAGGAUUGCCUGACCGUUCCUAUCUUGAUUUCUAAGUGUUGGACCUAACCUCAAGCUAUGGUAAGAUAAUUCAUUUAUUAUGACUCGCGGAGUAGUUAUCUUCAUAGUUUCAGUGUGCUUAGUCAUGUUUCCCCAUUGUAGUUUUGCUCUUAUGUUAUCUAUAGUCGCUAAAAUGAAAUGAUUUUCCAUCUGAGAUAUAACCCAAAGCUGCCCCCAAUCCUCAACUGAAAACUUGACCGACUGAGGUAUACUAAAAGAAAGGAUUAACUCUAGUUCUAGAAAUUUUCGAUAAGAUUCUACAUGAUCUCAAUAAAAUAGCCGGGGAAAUAAUGUAUAUGGAUUACUGAAGCAUGCACUUCCUUUUCAGAUUUGACUAAUAUUGAUCACUCUUUCUCUAACUUUUGUUGCAAAGGUUUUUUAUCAUCAUUUUUCUUAAGAAAAUGUUAUGCAAGUUGGAGCACCAUUAAUGCAAAAUGCUGGAAUUUAAUGUGUUUUGCUUAAUUAAAGUUGGGACAGCAGUUAUGAAUGCAUUAAUCAAUGCAAGGAAAGCUGUUGAUAAGUCUUCUCCGGUUGAAGUGGAAAACGUGCCCAUACUAUCCACAAGCGCUGCUUAUGCUGUCUAGCACUUACAAUGAAACCUUUCUAGUUUAUCCUGUGAAAAAAACAUGUCCUGCUUGAUUAGAGUGUCAACCAUUCUCAGUGUCGAGGAAAAUAAAUAAAAAGUUCAAC